rnacentral:lncRNA from 1 species
GCUGAAAAGACAGUUUGUUACUCACACUUCCCAAGAAGAGGAGGAGGCAUACCUUGCCCUGCAGUUAUGCCUUUGCAGGCGCUGCAUCAGAUCUUAUUUGGAGGAAGACCCCCCUGCGCCUGGGAGGAUAUUCAGGUUGUCAGGCUGUCCACAGCCUCCCCCAGGCCUGGGGAACUGACGUACACUGCGCAUGCACGUCCCGUGGUUGCGAGCCCCGGAUCUCAAAACAGUUCCAAGCCCACGAAAGGCAGAAUCGCUGAUUAAGCUCUUGAGGACCCAGGGAUCUUAAAGGAUCGAAUUCCAAGCCAUAAUCUCACUAUGGAGCCUGUUCACCCCUCAGGUAGAUCGGGGAGAACUUGAAUCUCUUGCCUCUGCUUGGCAGGGCGGGGCUGCUGAGGAGAAGGCUCCAAAAAGAGACAUUUGGGAGCGGUGGUUGAUCCAGCAGCACUAGCGGCAGCCAUGAGCCUGGAGCACGCGGGUGCACUGCGCAUGCGGUUCCGUUCGUGGGGUCUCCGGAGGGAAAGGAAUUGUGGACCAGCGGGCACCCGUAGCUCGUCAGGACCCGGCGCACUCUCGUGGGUUCUCGAGGGAAGCCAGGCAUCUGCCCAGGUCGGAGACCACACGUGCAUAAAGGCUCCUGUUCCUCAUGAGCCAGAUUGUUUCUGUUAUGCUGAUUUUGGAUUCCACUGUGGCCUAACCCAGCGCUGAAAACGUAAUGCCAGUUCUCAUUUAUCUCCCAUGCUGGUGAAGAGUAGACAGGGCCACAUCGCUGCUCUGGCUUCUGCUUACACAAGUGCUACCACGCUCCACGAAACCCUGUCCUGCUCUCUGUCACUUCCUUCUGAGCCAUCUCUACCUGCCACUGCUGCCGCCCUGAUGCUCAGCUCAGCUCCUCUUCCAUUCCAGCGGAGGGACAGCCUCCUAGAGCACGUCACUCAUCCCUGACAUUCACCGCAGCCCCUGCUGCUCUUGGAGUGCUGGACGGUCUUGCUGAAGCAGCUCCCCUGCUGUAUCUUAUGAAGGACCCACACCAGGGUUACUGGAGCAUUGAGUCAUUCCAGAAGUUUGUGUCUAGCACUUCUGAGUUUUCUCCAAAGCUGUUUCCUUCCAAGGUGCUGAUGUGCCUUUGAGCGUUACCCAGAACACUUGAUUCUUCCUGAUUCUCAGCUUCUUUUGCUAGGAGUGCUCAUCAUGCCAGAUCCCGUAUUCCCAUAUGACACAUUUUUUCUCAGAGACUCAAUAGUGUCCUCAGGCAAUUUGGCUUCUGAAUGACUCCUUCAUUUUUCCAGGCAUUUAUAAAUAUAUCUGAAUCCCAAGUGUGACGUUAUGUGAGUCACUUUCCAAAAGAACUUUUAAACCCAGUAAUAUGCUGGCAGAUGUUUAAUAACCAGCAAGCUAAAG